rnacentral:tRNA from 1 species
GAGGUGCUAGUAAAUUCAAAAUUACACCACCUUGUCAAGGUGGAAUAGCAGGUUAAACCCCUGCGCACUUUA